rnacentral:lncRNA from 1 species
UAAAAAAUUCUCUCUCUCUCUCUCUCCCACUCUUUAAAAAAAAAAAACAAAGGAAGAAAUAGAAGAAGCCAUCAAAAGACUACCAACCAAGAAAAGCCCUGGACCGGAUGGGUAUACAGCAUAGUUUUACAAAACCUUCAAAGAAGAAUUAAUACCAAUACUUUUCAAGCUAUUUCAAGAAAUAGAAAAAGAAGGAGCUCUUCCAAAUUCAUUCUAUGAGGCCAACAUCACCCUGAUCCCGAAACCAGACAAAGACACUUCAAAGAAAGAAAACUACAGACCAAUAUCUCUAAUGAACUUAGAUGCAAAAAUUCUCAAUAAAAUCCUGGCAAAUCGAAUACAAAAGCAUAUCAAAAAAAUUGUGCACCACGACCAAGUAGGAUUCAUCCCUGGGAUGCAAGGCUGGUUCAAUAUACGGAAAUCAAUAAAUGUUAUUCACCACAUCAAUAGACUUAAAGAUAAGAACCAUAUGAUCAUCUCGAUAGAUGCAGAAAAAGCAUUCAACAAAGUACAGCAUCCCUUUGUUCAAAACACUAGAAAAACUAGGGAUAACAGGAACUUACCUCAACAUUGUAAAAGCUAUAUAUGCUAAGCCUCAGGCUAGCAUCAUUCUAAAUGGAGAAAAACUGAAGGCAUUCCCUCUAAAAUCUGGAACUAGACAGGGAUGCCCUCUCUCACCACUUCUAUUCAAUUUAGUUCUUGAAAUACUAGCCAGAGCAAUCAGACAGACUAAAGAAAUUAAGGGCAUAAAAAUAGGAAAAGAAGAACUUAAAUUAUCACUAUUUGCGGAUGAUAUGAUAAUAUAUCUAACAGACCUAAAAGGGUCUACAAAGAAACUGCUAGAGUUAAAAAAUGAAUUCAGCAAAGUGGCAGGAUAUAAAAUCAACACGCAUAAAUCAAAGGCAUUCGUGUAUAUCAGCAACAAAACUUCUGAAAUGGAAAUGAGGAAAACCACUCCAUUCAC